rnacentral:snRNA from 1 species
GGAUGUGAGGGCGAUCUGGCUGCAACAUCUGUCACCCCAUUGAUCGCCAGGGUUGAUUCGGCUGAUCUGGCUGGCGAGGCGGGUAUCCCCUUCCUCCCUCACUGCUCCAUGUGCGUCCCUCCUGAAGCUGCGUGCUCGGAUGAAGAGGACGACCAUCCCCGACAGAGGAAGACUGUUCUUCGGUCAAGGGUAUACGAGUAGCUGCGCUUCCCUGCUAGAACCUCCAAACAAGCUCUCAACAAAUAAUGUUGGGACAAGUGGAUAUCCACAUGUAGAAGAAUGCAUUUGGGCAUACUGCACACUACCUAUAAAAAUGCACUUAAAAUGCAAAGACCCACAU